rnacentral:rRNA from 1 species
GGAGUCUAACAAAUACGCGAUUAUGUUGGUGUUUGUAAACCAUGCAUGAGCAAUGAAAGUAAGCGGUGCCAAUCGCAAGAUGCAGCAUCGGCCGAUCGUGCGCCUCUGGCAAAACGUGUUGGCUACGAGCGUAUCUGUUAGGACCCGAAAGAUGGUGAACUACGCUUGGGUAGGAUGAAGCCGGAAGAAAUUCCUGUUGGAGGUCCGAAACGGUACUGACGUGCAAAUCGUUCGUCAAACUUGAGUGUAGGGGCGAAAGACUAAUCGAACCAUCUAGUAGCUGGUUCCCUCCGAAGUUUUCUCUCAGGAUAGCAAAGACAGUUAAAGCAGUUUUAUUUGAGGUAAAGAAUAAAUGAUUAGAAGCAUCUGGGAUUUAUUUGUGUAUCUCGACUUAGUUCUCAAACUCUAAAUAUUGUAAUAGCUCGGUAUUUCUUAAGUG